rnacentral:rRNA from 1 species
CGGAGGGUGCAAGCGUUAUCCGGAUUUACUGGGUUUAAAGGGUGUGUAGGCGGGCUAUUAAGUCUGGGGUGAAAUCUCCGAGCUCAACUCGGAAACUGCCUUGGAUACUAUUAGCCUUGAAUUAUGUUGAGGUUGGCGGAAUAUAACAUGUAGCGGUGAAAUGCAUAGAUAUGUUAUAGAACACCGAUUGCGAAGGCAGCUAACUAAGCAUAUAUUGACGCUGAGGCACGAAAGCGUGGGGAUCAAACAGGAUUAGAUACCCUGGUAGUCCACGCCCUAAACGAUGAUUACUCGUCAUUUGCGAUACACAGUGAGUGACCAAGCGAAAGCGUUAAGUAAUCCACCUGGGAAGUACGUCCGCAAGGAUG